CAGAAAGUAGUUUAUUUAAAAUAUUAAUUUUGGAGAUUAAUGAAAAAAUUAUUUUUUUUUCUGA
rnacentral:tRNA from 1 species